UACGUAGGGGGCAAGCGUUGUCCGGAUUUAUUGGCGUAAAGAGCGUGUAGGCGGUUUGGUAGGUCCGCUGUGAAAACUCGAGGCUCAACCUCGAGACGCCGGUGGAAACCAUCAGACUAGAGUCCGGAAGAGGAGAGUGGAAUUCCUGGUGUAGCGGUGAAAUGCGCAGAUAUCAGGAAGAACACCCGUGGCUAAGGCGGCUCUCUAGUACGGUACUGACGCUGAGACGCGAAAGCGUGGGGAGCGAACAGG
rnacentral:rRNA from 1 species